rnacentral:piRNA from 1 species
UACAAACCUCUUAAGAUGGGGACUAUGUC